UUUCCAAGUGAAAUUUAUGCCAAUUACUCCUAUUGCGCUCUUUUUGGUUUUCUUCUUUCCCAGGCAGUGAGGUUUCUGGGGGACAUUAACUGCAAUGGAUUGUGUCUCCAUUGCAGAUACAGUCAUCUUCCAGGAGGAGUCUCUGUGCUGUUGUAUGAGUCAAAAUUGAAUCUGGAUCUGAACUUAAUGAUGUGGAAAAGAGGAUAGAAGCAGAUCUGUCAGAAAGGUGUUUGAGAACUGCCACAGUGUUAAAUGCAGGAUGGCAGUGAUUAGGGUUUUAUUGUCAGGAUUAGUUUCCCUUUGUUAUAGACAAUCCUGAGAUACAAGAUCCUUGUGCCCCAAAAGACAUCUGGGUUCAAUCUCUCUCUGCAGACAGUGAAUGCUUCCUGCACAGCAGCCUUGCAGCAAAGUUUGAUCUGCUCCUUUCAGACAGGUCACUUCCCACCGUUGCCUCAGCUCCCUGAAUGACAAGAACCAGCCAACAGGGAAACAGGGGAGAGGAGGGUUUAAAACAGGAUGACUGAUUAUAAAUAUUGUUACAAAUCUGGAGCACCCAAGGACUUCCGUGUUGUCACUCUGCUGAACUGCAUGGCCCCUCAGGGCUGCACUGUGACUGUGUGCAUAGGACUUGGCUUCUCCUGCCUCAAAAACUUGGGCCUCAAUGACUGGAGCAAAAGGGGAUUCUCCACUAUAUGUUAGCAGUAUAGAGCCUAUGAUACACAACUAAGCAUUUCUGAUUCAUCCAACAAUGCCCUGCAGUGCAAAUGUAUACUAAAUAGCUGGGUACAAUGUUAGUGCUGUUUUAUAAUGGGGAUGAUUCACCUUUACUCCCUGCACCCCUUUAGCCCUCCCUGGGCUCAGUCGUUAAGUAGUCCCAGCCCUGGUAUGGGCCAUAUCCCCAGGGCUUCCUCCCUAGAGACACAACCUUCCUAAGGCCAGCUCAGUCCCAGCAUCCAGCCCAGAGCUCCUUCUUUGCUCCCCUGGUCCCUACUAGCAAAUUGUCUUUGGCUCAGUCCUAGCAGCCAGCUAGGAUCCUCUCACCGCCCCAGUCCCUGCUGCCACUUAGCUGUCUGUGCGCCUGCUGCUCUUCAGCCAGGCACACAGUCCUUUCUUCUCCAGCUCCAAACAGGAACUAACUGCUGAGUUGUUCUGCAGCUCCUUUUAUAUGGCCCUCCUGGCCCCUGACUGGCUGUUCCAGCAGCUCCUCUGAUUGGUUGCUUCCGCACAACCACUCUAGGCUGCUUGGAGGAUCUCUCCACAGCUCCUUGCUUGGGGUGGGUGUGGCAAACCCUGAGGCCUCCAAGCAGUUGCCCUUUGGGCCUAGUCCACCCCAUCACAAGCCCCCAGGUAACAAAGUCCAGUAAUUUUGGAUCACGUCCCUGUACUAUGGUCCUAAUGAAACACUUAGAACAUUAAGUUCCAUGCAGGGUGAGGGAGCUACUGUGCCUCAUGGCAACACCCUUUCUGUCUCUAGGUGUUUAUAGAGCACCAGCACCAUAGAAACCAGGCACUGUAUUAAUAAGCCUUCUCUCAUGCCCUCUCCCUCCAGGGGACCCUUCGCUACCCUCUCUCUCCUCGAUGUCAUUAAGUUAUCACAGUGCAACAGGUAAAUCAGAAAGGUCUUCACAGGCUAUUCGUGCUCUGGAGCAGAACGUUUCCUCUUCAUUUGUGGUCCAGACUGAUCCAGUCUCUCUCAUUUCAGUUAUGCCAGGACAUGCAAUAGCUCCAGGGUGGCCAUUGUUGAUGGCAGGAUGCUCUCAGGCUUCAUCUCUUCAUAUCAUCCUGGUAGAAGGUCUCUCAGAAGAAUAUCAGUUUCUUAGCUGAGCAAGAACUUCCUGUGUCCAAUAUCAAACUGGCUUCAGUGCUGAUCUACGGUUAAUAUGAAAGAGCUGCAGCUGUAGGGACAGAAACAAAUUCUGCAUCUUUCCACUGAGGAGGCAAGAGGUCCAUGUACUUGUAUCAUGAAUGGAAGAUCACAGCCUAGGUUGGUUGUAAUACACUGGAAGGAUUUGGGGCAAACACGUCUUGCUGAGUGCAGCACAGCCUGUGGUCAGACAUCUCACCCGGAAAGCAGCUGCAAGUCUGCAGCGAUUAGAGUAACGUACUCUCCCUUUCCAUUGCUGUGACAGAGUGCUGAGGCCUGACAGGACAAAUAUGGAAUGCGAACUGAGGAAAGAAGCCGGACAGCUUAUUUCCCUUUGACUAUAGACUGUUAGUAAAUGUUACACUUACAAUCUGGCUGUCUGCAUGCUGUGACUGUGCAGUAGUUAACUUGGCUAGAUUCAACCCUAGUGUGUAUAUCCCCUCCAUGAACUCCCUCUAGAUCUAUAAGACCACACAUGACCCUGGUUCCACACUCAGACUGAGAACUGUAGUUGGUCAAAGCAUGUAACAUUCCCCAUAAUAAACUUCUCAAAUUCCACA